CGGUCUGGUGGUCGAAGCGGAGGACGUCCCACCCGAUCCCAUCUCGAACUCGGCCGUGAAAGCCUCCAGCGCCCAUGGUACUGUGCCUCAAGGCACGGGAGAGUCGGUCACCGCCAGACCU
rnacentral:rRNA from 1 species